CUGGACCGGCAAAAAAUAUUAUAUCAGAUCAAAAAGUGGACUGCGCUGCCCAACUCCCCCACCCCCCUGAGUGAAAUGAAAAUUGCAUUUAAUUUGAUCAAGACCAGUACAAAUUAGAUAAGCCCAUUUUGUUGUUUCAACUGCUUGGCCUUCGGCCACGCCACAGCGAACUGUAACAAAAAGCAAAAGAUUGCGCCAAGUGCAAACGAGAUGUGUGGAAAAUCAACUGAAACAAACACAGGAAAAACAAAAAAAAAACAAAGUGUAGACAAUAGAAAACGUUUAUAUUACCCCAAGAGAUGAAUGCACAAAAACAGCUGUCAAUAAUUUUGUCAAUAAAAUUAUUUUGAAAACAGGAGAAAACAACAGUGAACAAUUCGAAAUAAUAUUAACAAAAGUUUUUAGAAACAUCAUAAUCAAAGUGGCUUUUGGUUUACCCCUUAUCCUGUCCGAAAAAAUGUUAUUAACGCAAUUUACAAACAGUGUUAAAACAUCCUGAGUGGAGCGAUGGCAACAACCCAUAAUAAAGAACAGGAAAAGAAGAAAAUCUUGCAGUUAUCUCUCGAGAGUAAACGAACGAAGUUGACUUUAUAGCUGUCGGCCACCAUUGCUAGUACCAACCACUAGUGUCUUCCUUUUAUCUACAAGGACUUCGCCGCCCUGGGCUCCUGAGUGUAUGAAAGUAUGGCACGGAGCGAAGGCGCCGAAUACCCAUAUUUACACAAAGAAUUUUAGAGCGCCCGCCGCGGGAUUCGAACCGGCGACCUCUGGAUUGUGAGUCCAGUGCGCGGUCCGAUUGAUCCACACGGGCGGGACAGAGAGUUCUACUUUUAAAAUAUGAAGAAAAUUGACUAAAAAAAUAUACUGCUUUGUGAAAAAUACGCAAACGUGCCAUUGUUUAAAGGAAACCGUUUAAAUUUCGCUUGCUAAAACGUCUGGUGCGAUCAAAGUUGAGCCUUGAUCGCUACCGAUAUCGGUAGUGCCGACCAGCACUCCAAUCACAUUGUCAGCUCAAAAUGUGCUAGACCAAACCGAGUUUUUUUUUGCCCUCCUCAAAUUCCGCGCCCGAAGUGGCAAUUGAAAAUAACGUCAGCACCCACGAGGUGUUGGGAUACGGGAUCGAUGCGAUGAUGAUCGUCAUCAUCGUCUUUAUCAUUUGGCGCUGGAGACGCAAUGUGCGUCGUUUGCGAGAAUCUGAGUCGGUGGCCACGCGGCUGGCCCGACAAUCGGCAUAGACUUAGCUACCAUAGAAGAAGUUAAUAAAAGUUAGUUCGAUUUAGACAGCGAAGUGAACUGUGGAGAAGUUGGUUGGCUGGUGAAAUCCCUACAGCAAGAUGAUCACCUUGCUUCCUCGACGGUUACCCGCUGAAAGAGGCCGACCGCUGACUCUAUCCCGCGAACUGUCAGAUCCGUUGGGCUGCGUCCGUACGCUGCCACUCGAAGGCUGCGUCUAGUACGCAACCAGAUCGAGGGGGCUAUUCGGGCCCACACAUCUUCCCCCUUCUCUAAAAUAAUCAACACCUUAAUAAGUUAUGAUUACGUAUAAUGUUGACGCUUAUACACAAACAUGUAUCUUGAUAAGCACCAACUCGCAAAUCACUAACAAUCCAAAAACCUCGCCAAAAAUACUUUUUCUAUCGGACUCAACAGACAUACUCUCUCUAUAGAACAGACAAGAGAGAGAGAAAGAGAGUCAAGGAGGCUCUCACUAAUUGAUUAAUUUCCCCAGGUAGUAACUUUGCCAUUCCUGUCCUCGGUUGACUCGGACCCGCACACGUCGGCGACACCUCUCCCCGCCCUCACCCUUACCGAUUUUAUAAUUCCCAGGAAAAGUGCGCAACUCUAACAAAGCACACCUCUUAUUAAGUCCUCGGCCCUGGUUCCAUAUGCAUUUGGACUAGGACGUUAUCAUGCAUGACGAUAGCACACAAGAGCAUCAAUUUAUGAAGGAAGGUCAGGGAUAAGCAAGUCCGGUAGCAAGUGCGCUUCGGACUAUGACGUCACCGUUUGGUGUUUGGGGCAGG